UGAGGAACAUGACCUUCGGCGGGGGAUAGCCGGCCCAACGGCCGGGUAAUACCGCGUACGACCAUUUGGGGACAUCCCUAGAUGGUGAAAGCAGCAAUGCGCCGAUGGAGUGCCUCGCGGCCUAUCAGCUAGUUGGUGAGGUAACGGCUCACCAAGGCAACGAUGCGUAGCCGACCUGAGGAGGGUNAUCCGGGCCAACAUUGGGAACUGAGACACGGUCCAGACUCCGUAGGGAGG
rnacentral:rRNA from 1 species